GGAACGGGCUCCUGAAAAUGGAACUAUUUCACCGUAUCUGACUCAACAGAUGUUUCUAAGCAACUAGACCCAUGGCAGAAAGUCGCAGGUUCUGGAUAAGGAAAAUUCAAGAGGACACGGAGAUGGAUUCCUGAGGAACAAGUAAUUUUCUAGAGAAUCAUUGACACCAUGAACAACAGACAAGGCAGAGGCUCUGAAGAGUAUUCAGACCUCAGGAGCAGAGAGAACAGCAUAGUGGGGUCUCUGGAAAGAGAGACCCACAUGGCAGAGGAGGAGGGACCAUCUCCUAUAGCUCUCUGAAGAUGGGUGGGGGUGGGGGUUAUGCAAGGACAGCCUGGCUCUCUGAUUCCCAGAGUCAGAAGAAGGGAUGGAGAGCAACAUGUAUGGCUUUUAUGUACAUCUCUUCCCAGGUGAGAUAAACUGGCACCCAGGCUGUCUGCUACCUAGGGACCCAGAAAAUGUCUCCUAGAGUGCCUGUCUUCUGAAAGAAAGAGGAGGCUGCAGAGAUACUAUAGACAGAGCAGAGACUAGGUUCUAGCAUCCCAAUCUCUCAAACUUGGCACAUGCCCACCUCAGAAGGCAGCAAAUCCCAUUGCUUGUCUAAGUGCCCAGCAAUGAAAACUUGAAGCUGGGAGAUAAUGCCCAGGCAACUCACCAGCUUUCCUAAUCUGCUGAUGACAGUGCAAGCUCCACCCAGACCCUGUGUCACAACCUCUUCUUAAGGCUGUAAGAUGGGCACAGUAAUAUCAACCUCCACUUGAAAUGACUUUUUAAUGGAAAUGCACAAGUCUCAUGGUUAGCCUUGGACGAGAACAGAACCACAUCAUGAUCUGUAGAGACACUGAGUAAGGCCUCCAGCAUGUGCCCCUCCCCCAUGACACCCCUGCUAUCCCACUCCCUGUUGCCCAUUAUUCCACUUGGCCCUCCUUGCUGACCUCACUGACAACUCUGCACAAGGGACAUAAUAAGGUCCAAAGUAGCUUUUAAAUUAGGCCACCAUAUUCCAGAUACAACACACACAUUUUGUCUUUUAUUGUUUGAUUUUUAUUUAGGCUUAAUUUCACAUAGUACAUAAAUAUGUUUUAUGAAAAGGCAAUUCAUCACAACAUACCAUGAUGGGCUUCAAAUGCCAGACACACCUCCCCAGAGCCUGAACUGAUUUCCCUCCCCUGAGUUUCUCACAUUUCUUCUCCUACCCUAAUACUCUUAGAGCACAACUUUGAUAAGGUCAGUGUUUGGGAUAUAUGCUGACCACUAUUAUGUAAUUCACAGCUGAAUUAUAUGGUAAAUUAUAAUUCAACUCCUACCUGUACAUUUUCUAUUUUCUCUGGAUUUAGUAAUAUCUUUUUUUCUUGUCUUCUUCUUUUCCUUGGUAAGUUGUUGACAGUUGUUCAAGUAACUCCCAAUAUGCUCGGCUAUGCCAACAGUCUCAAUUGCAUCUCCCUGAAGAAUCCUCUCUUGGAGUCUCAUUCACUUUUCUGUCUUCCUUCUCUGUUACGUGUGCAGCUCUCUUCAAAAGAUCCACCUUCCCUGGAAUUCUGAACAUUUGGUUUACUUCUCUCAUACUGAGUCUUGUGCUGGCUAGUUUUGUGCUAACAGGAUGUAAGUUGGAGUCAUUGGGAAGAGGGAAAUGGCAACUGAGAAAAUGCCCCCACCAGAUUAGCCUGUAAGCAAGCCUGUGGCAAAUUUCUUGAUUGGUAACUGACAUGGAAGGGCCCAGUCCAUGGUAGGUGGAGCCAUCCCUGGGACGAUGGCUCUGGGUUCUAUCAGAAAGCAGGCUGAGCAAGCCAUGAGGAGCAAGCCAGUAAGCAGCACUCCUCCAUGGCCUCUGCAUCAGCUCCUGCCUCCAGGCUCCUGCCCUGCUUGAGUUCCUUCUCUGACUUGCUUCAGUGCUGGACUGUGAUGUGAAAGCGUAAGCAAAAUAACCCUUUUCCUCCUCAAGUUGUUUUUGUUUAUGUUGUUUCUUCACAGCAAUAGAAAUCCCAAUAAGUCCCCCCCACUCCCCGAACACCCUCUGAGUCUCCUAAUUUGCUUUCUACCCUGAUAGCUGUCUGAGAAAGAAUAUAUGGAUGGUACUUUUAAUGCCUUGAGUGUUUAAAAAUGGAUUUAUUCUGCAUUGGCCUUGAUUAAUAACGUGGCUACGAAUAGAACUCUAGAUAUAAAUUGCUUACUUUGGAAAUGUUUAAAGCAGUACUUCAUUUUCUUCUGGCUUUUAUUAAUAACACUGAGAAAUAAAAAAACCCAUUUUGCUUUC